rnacentral:misc_RNA from 1 species
ACUUGUUGAUCGGAUUGUACAAGGUUAGAAAACUCUUUCCAUCUAUGCUUUCUAAGAUCUCAUCUUUUGACUGAUGCCAAUUUAUCCACAUUUAAUGCCAUUUGCUACUGCGAGAAACAUAACUUCUUGCUGAAGCCUGGGGUCCUGGAAAUUCUUGCAUUGCUGGACAGAAUUGUGUAAUCUGUCAACUUGUGUUAUUAUAACAGUCUACGGCUAGACAAUUUAAGAAGUUUUUUAUUUUUCAGCAGCAAAGAAAUAAGGGUUUGAAAGGUGUAUUUUCAUGGGAUUGUGAACAAUACUAAAAUACUGGGAUGGAGUAGGUUUGGUCAUGUGGCCCAAAACUUAAGCUCUAAGUUACAAGCAUUCAUUUAUCCAAAUGCUUUACAUAGUUGUCUGCACUUGCCUAGUUUUUC